UACAGAGGUCUCAAGCGUUGUUCGGAUUCAUUGGGCGUAAAGGGUGCGUAGGUGGCGUGGUAAGUCGGAUGUGAAAUCCCGGGGCUCAACCCCGGAACUGCAUUCGAUACUGCCAUGCUAGAGUACUGGAGAGGAGAUUGGAAUUUACGGUGUAGCAGAGAAAUGCGUAGAUAUCGUAAGGAAGACCAGUGGCGAAGGCGGAUCUCUGGACAGUUACUGACACUGAGGCACGAAGGCCAGGGGAGCAAACGGG
rnacentral:rRNA from 1 species